rnacentral:rRNA from 1 species
GACGAACGCUGGCGGCGUGCUUAACACAUGCAAGUCGAACGGAGCGCCAAGGAAGGAGUUUUCGGACAACGGAUUUGGCUGCUUAGUGGCGGACUGGUGAGUAACGCGUGAGGAACCUGCCCUUGAGUGGGGGACAACGGUUGGAAACGACUGCUAAUACCGCAUGAUGUAUUGUCGGGACAUCCCGGCGAUACCAAAGAUUUAUCGCUCAAGGAUGGCCUCGCGUCUGAUUAGAUAGUUGGUGAGGUAACGGCUCACCAAGUCGACGAUCAGUAGCCGGACUGAGAGGUUGGCCGGCCACAUUGGGACUGAGAUACGGCCCAGACUCC